rnacentral:rRNA from 1 species
GACGAACGCUGGCGGCGGGCUUAACACAUGCAAGUCGAACGGAAAGGCACUGCGUUCGUGGUGUUCUGGAGUGGCGAAGGGGGGCGGAACACGUGAGUAACCUGCCCUUGACUUUGGGAGAACUUCAGGAAACUGAGGCUAAUACAAGAUAGGAUCUCCUGCUGCAUGGAGGGGGUGGGAAAGUUUCGGCUGUCGGGGAUGGACGCGCGGCUUAUCAGCUUGUUGGUGGGGGAGGGGCUUGCCAACGCUUGGACGGGUAGCCGGCCGGAGAGGGUGACCGGCGACAUUGGGCCUGAGGUACGGCCCAGACUCGUACGUGAGGCAGCGGUGGGGAGUAUUGUACAGUGGGAGGAAGCGUGAUGCAGAGACGUCGCGUUCGUGAAGACGGCCUUCGGGUUGUAAACAGCUGUCGGCUAUGACGAAGCGUGAGUGACGGUAAUGGGUAAAGAAGCACCGGCUAACUACGUG